CGUAGGCGGACGGGUGAGUAACGCGUGGGUAACCUGCCUCAUACAGGGGGAUAACGGUUAGAAAUGACUGCUAAUACCGCAUAAGCGCACAGUACCGCAUGGUACGGUGUGAAAAACUCCGGUGGUAUGAGAUGGACCCGCGUCUGAUUAGCUAGUUGGUGGGGUAACGGCCCACCAAGGCGACGAUCAGUAGCCGACCUGAGAGGGUGACCGGCCACAUUGGGACUGAGACACGGCCCAG
rnacentral:rRNA from 1 species